GAUGAACGCUGGCGGCGUGCCUAAUACAUGCAAGUCGAGCGAACAGACGAGGAGCUUGCUCCUCUGACGUUAGCGGCGGACGGGUGAGUAACACGUGGAUAACCUACCUAUAAGACUGGGAUAACUUCGGGAAACCGGAGCUAAUACCGGAUAAUAUAUUGAACCGCAUGGUUCAAUAGUGAAAGACGGUUUUGCUGUCACUUAUAGAUGGAUCCGCGCCGCAUUGGCUAGUUGGUAAGGUAACGGCUUACCAAGGCAACGAUGCGUAGCCGACCUGAGAGGGUGGUCGGCCACACUGGAACUGAGACACGGUCCAGAGGCCUACGGGAGGCAGCAGUAGGGAAUCUUCCGCAAUGGGCGAAAGCUUGACGGAGCAACGCCGCGUGAGUGAUGAAGGUCUUCGGAGCGUAAAACUCUGUUAUUAGGGAAGAACAAAUGUGUAAGUAACUAUGCACGUCUUGACGGUACCUAAUCAGAAAGCCACGGCUAACUACGUG
rnacentral:rRNA from 1 species